rnacentral:misc_RNA from 1 species
AAAGGCGACUAUAUCCUAACUGAAGAUCAGGUUGAAGCUGCUCUCUUGUACCCAGGCUUUUGUCGGACACUCCUAAGAAUGCGUCUGAGGCUUAGAGGAACAACAUUGGGGGCAAACAAUCGAAUGGACCUCUUGAAGCUUGUUACAACAGGAGUAAAUGAAAGUGAAAUAAGGGAUGAUGAUGUUGACAUGCUUGGAGUUGUACAGGGGUGGCAGGAGGAUGAGACUCAUGACCCAGAUGUGCCCGCUGUGACACAUAAGAGGGGCAUGACACCAUUUGUAUUUGUUCCAUUUGAAGAGGCGGAAACAUCGGAGUUAAAUCUUCCUGUGGAAAAGAUGGACUACUAUGUUCCAGGCUGAUGGAAGUGGUACCAUGGCGUGCUGUGUAUUAUAUUCCUCCAUGCUUGCUUUUGAUUUGUGUGAUAUAUAUAUACCUAAGAGUAUACAUCUAUAUUAAUAUUUAUACUGAACUCCCUGU